GCCAGGCGCAGUGGUGCAUGCCUGUAAUCCCAGCAGCUCGGGAGGCUGAGGCAGGAGGAUCAUGAGCUCAAAGCCAGCCUCAG
rnacentral:sRNA from 1 species